GAGAAGCGAGAUCUUGAUUCAACCCCAGUGCCGGGCUUGAUCUCUUGUACUUGACUUUUGCGCUUGAUUUGAUCCCCGCUUGCGCUCGCUCAUUGGCUCUCCUCGCCGAGAACUUGUGUGUCGAAUCAACCUCAGAAUGUACUUGGCUCGCCUAUCGCUCGUAAGUGAGAGAGAGAAACUUUACUAAAAUUGGUUUGCUGCCGGGCGGACUCGAACCCGCACACGCCAGUGCGAGAAGCUGGAGCGCUAUCCCCUGCGCUGCCGCUCUGCUGCUGGGAGGUACGGCCCAGCGCAGCGUCUCAAGCUGCAGCCAGCAGUCGCUUGCCCAGUUCCGUUUCGAGUUAUCCCCUUUGGACCGCAGGUGCGCUCGCGUCGCAUCUUGAGGGGAGAGGAGGGGGGGGGGCAUGAUUCAGACUGCCAGUGUCCGCCGGAGCGAAAGCAACGACUGUUGGCGCCGAGACCCGAGAGUCUAUAGCGACUGCAUCACUUGUUCGAGAUUUCGAGAUCUGCUGAGGUGACAGAAGUGCGUGUUAGACUCAAGUCGCUCCCUGCGCGAGGGCGAUUUGCUCCAGCUUUCCGAUGGGUGGGGGACGAGUUGCUGCUGCGCCAGCUCAAAGUGUUCCAGCUAGCGGACGCCAAGAGCACAUUACUGUCAUGGACGUGGACGCAGCAGGAGCUAGCUCCAUCCGGAAUAGUCUCAACCUCAGCCCCGAACAGUCAUCAACACCCAAUCCGGAGUCAUCUUUUCCGGCGGGAGUUCCAGAUGAAGUAAGUAAAUACACUCAUUACAUCUAGGAUUUUCAGUCUCCCCCACCAUCCUUUGGAAGUGUUUGGCCACGCAAAGCGCGUCGCCCCACUCCGGCCGCGGCAAGCGCGGUCGUUCAGAAAUGAAUCUCCUAUGCCCC